CCUGGAGGACAUUGUGCUGAGUGAAUAAGCCAGUCACAAAAGAUUGCAUAUCAAGCCCAGGAUGAAAGGACCCUCAACCUGUUGUGCCUUCCCCAGCUAAAGCAAGUUCACAGUGACCAUGUGGUACUCGUCGUCUGGAGAGGCUGCCACCGGGCUCUAAGCAGUGCAUUGGCAUCAGGGUGACAGCCAAGGCCUAGGUCUCCACCACGUGCCUGGUGAGCUACAAACAGGGCCACAGCCACCUGAGUGCCAGGAUCACCAUUGCUGCCUACCUGCCCCUCAAGUUUCUGCCCAAAACAAAA